rnacentral:rRNA from 1 species
UUCGGACUGGAGUCUGCAACCCGACUCCACGAAGUUGGAUUCGCUAGUAAUCGCGCAUCAGCCAUGGCGCGGUGAAUACGUUCCCGGGCCUUGUACACACCGCCCGUCAAGCCAUGGGAGCCGGGGGCGCCUGAAGUCCGGGACCGCGAGGACCGGCCUAGGGCGAAACUGGUAACUGGGGCUAAGUCGUAACAAGGUAGC